GUAGGUGGCAAGCGUUGUCCGGAAUUAUUGGGCGUAAAGCGCGCGCAGGUGGGUUCUUUAAGUCUGAUGUGAAAGCCCCCGGGCUCAACCGGGGAGGGUCAUUGGAAACUGGGGAACUUGAGUGCAGGAGAGGAAAGUGGAAUUCCACGUGUAGCGGUGAAAUGCGUAGAUAUGUGGAGGAACACCAGUGGCGAAGGCGACUUUCUGGCCCGUAACUGACACUGAGGCGCGAAAGCGUGGGGAGCAAACAGGAUUAGAUACCCUGGUAGUCCACGCCGUAAACGAUGAGUGCUAAGUGUUGGGGGGUUUCCGCCCCUCAGUGCUGCAGCUAACGCAUUAAGCACUCCGCCUGGGGAGUACGGUCGCAAAGACUG
rnacentral:rRNA from 1 species